ACUCCUACGGGAGGCAGCAGUGGGGAAUAUUGCACAAUGGGGAAACCCGUAGCAUGCAGCCAUGCCGCGUGUGUGAAGAAGGCCUUCGGGUUGUAAAGCACUUUCAGCGAGGAGGAAAGGUUAGUAGUUAAUACCUGCUAGCUGUGACGUUACUCGCAGAAGAAGCACCGGCUAACUCCGUGCCAGCAGCCGCGGUAAUACGGAGGGUGCGAGCGUUAAUCGGAAUUACUGGGCGUAAAGCGUGCGCAGGCGGUUUGUUAAGCGAGAUGUGAAAGCCC
rnacentral:rRNA from 1 species